rnacentral:rRNA from 1 species
UGGGGGAUAUUGCACAAUGGGGGAAACCCUGAUGCAGCGACGCCGCGUGUAGGAAGACGGUCCUCUGGAUUGUAAACUACUGUCUUCGGGGACGAUAAUGACGGUACCCGAGGAGGAAGCUCCGGCUAACUACGUGCCAGCAGCCGCGGUAAUACGUAGGGAGCGAGCGUUGUCCGGAAUUACUGGGUGUAAAGGGAGCGUAGGCGGGAAGGUAAGUCAGCGGUGAAAUACCUAAGCUCAACUUAGGGGCUGCCGUUGAUACUGCAUAGCUGGAAUAUGGUUGCUGUUGGCGGAAUGUGUAGUGUAGCGGUGAAAUGCAUAGAUAUUACACAGAACACCGAUUGCGAAGGCAGCUGACAAAACCAUUAUUGACGCUGAUGCACGAAAGUGUGGGGAUCAAACA